AGUGAACGCUGGCGGCAGGCCUAAUACAUGCAAGUCGAACGGAAGCACAGUAAGAGUUCGCCUCUAACGGUGGCGAGUGGCGGAUGGGUGACGCAUACAUAGCCAUCCACUUUUUCGUGGGGGACAUCGUAGGGACAGUUAUGAUAAUAGCGCAUACGAUGUACGGCAGAAUGCAGGGGAGAAACACACUUUGCGUGUCACAAUGAGACGAUGUCGCAUUAGCUAGUUGGCAAGGUAAAGGCACACCAAGGCAACGAUCCGUAGCUGAUCCGAGAGGAUGAUCGGCCACACUGGAACUGAGACACGGUCCAGACUCCUACGGGAGGCAGCAGUAGGGAAUAUUCGACAAUGGGCGAAAGCCUGACCGAGCCACGCCGCGUGAGUGAUGAAGGCCUUCGGAUCGUAAAACCCUGUUAUUAGGGAAGAAAAAAUGUGUAAGUAAACCUGGCUGUUUUGACGGUACCCAAUCAGAAAGCACCGGCUAACUUCGUG
rnacentral:rRNA from 1 species